rnacentral:rRNA from 1 species
GACGAACGCUGGCGGCGUGCUUAACACAUGCAAGUCGAACGGAAAGGCCCUGCUUUUGUGGGGUGCUCGAGUGGCGAACGGGUGUGUAACACGUGAGUAACCUGCCCUUGACUUUGGGAUAACUUCAGGAAACUGGGGCUAAUACCGGAUAGGAGCUCCUGCUGCAUGGUGGGGGUUGGAAAGUUUCGGCGGUUGGGGAUGGACCCGCGGCUUAUCAGCUUGUUGGUGGGGUAGUGGCUUACCAAGGCUUUGACGGGUAGCCGGCCUGAGAGGGUGACCGGCCACAUUGGGACUGAGAUACGGCCCAGACUCCUACGGGAGGCAGCAGUGGGGAAUAUUGCACAAUGGGCGGAAGCCUGAUGCAGCAACGCCGCGUGCGGGAUGACGGCCUUCGGGUUGUAAACCGCUUUCGCCUGUGACGAAGCGUGAGUGACGGUAAUGGGUAAAGAAGCACCGGCUAACUACGUG